UACGGAAUGUGCAAACGUUAUUCGGAAUCACUGGGCUUAAAGAGUCUGUAGGCGGUUUGUUAGGUGAGGCGUGAAAUCCCUCGGCCCAACCGAGGAAUUGCGCUUCAAACCGGCGAGCUAGAGGAGGAUAGAGGUGGGCGGAACUGAUGGUGGAGCGGUGAAAUGCGCAGAUAUCAGGAGGAACACCAAUUGCGAAGGCAGCUCGCUGGGACGUUACUGACGCUGAGACGCGAAAGCGUGGGGAGCAAACAGG
rnacentral:rRNA from 1 species